UUUUCGGCGAAGAAUUAACUCACUCUGCGAAUCAUCGCCGACGUCCGUAAUCCGGAAUGCCUGUAUUUCCACCGUCGUGCGCUUGCUGCGGGUCCUCACCGCGCAUAAACUACAGCUAGUUUCACAAAAACAUAAAUUCACACAACACUCGCCACUGGUCACCACAAAUCACCGAACACUCCGGUUCGAAUAUCAAGUCCUCUGUCCACGGGACAGCACAGGAGGAUCCACUCCAGAAACUACUCCCCGAGAAUGCGAAACGCACGGCCGAUUUUUCUUCUAAAGUUAGUUGAUCGAUUUUCGCGAGCCGUCGUCCGUCGUUGUCCUCACACACUAUGACCGCUGCUGCUCGCUCGCGGUUCGCUUGGCAGACAACAGCAGUGGCAAGAGCAACAGAAGGCAGCCACGGCAGGAGAAGGCAGCGUGUAGCAGCGACGACGACGGCGGCGUGUGUAUGUUGUUUAAUAGAACUAACUGCUGCUGCUGCUGCUGCACUGCACUCUUUCUCUCGCGGUCGACGCUUCUACCUAUAGCGCGAGCUGCUUCGGCUUGAAGCGAGGACGGGCAAACAAGCCGUGCGAAAACAUCCCCGCAAACGCGAAAAUGACAACUGGAGGAAAUCUCUCAGCUAGCGGCAUGCACACGCUGGGGCAGGAGAAUAUUUUAAUUUACAAAAAAGUUUCAUUAAUCUUAUCUUCAGAGUCCGUGAAAACUGGCAAAAGAUUUGACAUGAAAAAAGUUCCGAGCGAAAGAAACUAAAUUCAAUAAAAUCAAAUUGUCGUUUGAACAUCAAAUAAUUUAUGCCGAAUCUUAAUCAGAAUUAAUGUAUAUCAAAAUUACCACAAUGUGGUUGGACAUUGCAUGAAAUAUCAACUUUGAUUACAAUUAUCUU